CCCUGGCUCAGGAUGAACGCGGGCGGCGUGCUUAACACAUGCAAGUCGAACGAUGAUCCGGUGCUUGCACCGGUGAUUAGUGGCGAACGGGUGAGUAACACGUGAGUAACCUGCCCUUAACUCUGGGAUAAGCCUGGGAAACUGGGUCUAAUACCGGAUAUGACUCCUCAUCGCAUGGUGGGGGGUGGAAAGCUUUAUUGUGGUUUUGGAUGGACUCGCGGCCUAUCAGCUUGUUGGUGAGGUAAUGGCUCACCAAGGCGACGACGGGUAGCCGGCCUGAGAGGGUGACCGGCCACACUGGGACUGAGACACGGCCCAGACUCCUACGGGAGGCAGCAGUGGGGAAUAUUGCACAAUGGGCGCAAGCCUGAUGCAGCGACGCCGCGUGAGGGAUGACGGCCUUCGGGUUGUAAACCUCUUUCAGUAGGGAAGAAGCGAAAGUGACGGUACCUGCAGAAGAAGCGCCGGCUAACUA
rnacentral:rRNA from 1 species